UUGUUUCUUCCUUUCGUAGCUUUGUAAGGAAACAGGAAAGGCCACAGGAAUUAUUUCUUCCUCUCCCAACCCUGCCUUUUUCCUGUCUUCCUCCAUGAGCAUCAGAUCUGUGCAGUUACAAGGCACUGGCUGGGGAUCCCAGGAGCAUCGUUCACUGUAAGAAUGAGUGCACGGGCAUCAGCCACCUGCCUGCAGUCUCCUGUGGCAUGUCCAAGCUAUAUACAUAGUCCUUGGCUUCACUUGGCAUCCUCCGUGCCACGUCCUGUGAAGAGACAGCUUCCUACCAAUCCCAAAUGUGCACCAAACACCAGUGACUUUCAGCUCUCAGCCUUCAGCUUUCCUCUGAACAGUGUACUACAGCUGAAUUAUUAUACCUGGCACUUCAGACUCUUCCACAUCUCAUUGCCUAAUUGUGUUCUCUUCUAGUAGGUGAGUGUUAAACUCAGACAUUAAAGGAUCUUUGCCAAUUACCUGAAGCUCAACAUUUGAUCUGUCUGAAAAUCUCACUGAUCCGUGGGGGACUGCUCCUCCGUCUGCAUCCUGAGUGCUUCCUUCUCUUCUUGCUUAGUGCAGUGUAAAGCAAGAGUAACUCUACUCCUGGU